rnacentral:rRNA from 1 species
GAUGAACGCUGGCGGCGUGCCUAAUACAUGCAAGUCGAGCGAACCACUUCGGUGGUGAGCGGCGAACGGGUGAGUAACACGUAGGUGAUCUGCCCAUCAGACGGGGACAACGAUUGGAAACGAUCGCUAAUACCGGAUAGGACGAAAGUUUAAAGGUGCUUCUCGCACCGCUGAUGGGUGAGCCUGCGGCGCAUUAGCUAGUUGGUGGGGUAAAGGCCUACCAAGGCGACGAUGCGUAGCCGACCUGAGAGGGUGAACGGCCACACUGGGACUGAGACACGGCCCAGACUCCUACGGGAGGCAGCAGUAGGGAAUCUUCGGCAAUGGGCGAAAGCCUGACCGAGCAACGCCGCGUGAAUGAUGAAGGCCUUCGGGUUGUAAAAUUCUGUUAUAAGGGAAGAACGACUUUAGUAGGAAAUGGCUAGAGUGUGACGGUACCUUAUGAGAAAGCCACGGCUAACUACGUGCCAGCAGCCGCCGUAA